rnacentral:rRNA from 1 species
AGAGUUUGAUCCUGGCUCAGAUUGAACGCUGGCGGAAUGCUUUACACAUGCAAGUCGAACGGCAGCACGGACUUCGGUCUGGUGGCGAGUGGCGAACGGGUGAGUAAUACAUCGGAACGUGCCCGGACGUGGGGGAUAACUACUCGAAAGAGUGGCUAAUACCGCAUACGAUCCAAGGAUGAAAGCGGGGGAUCGCAAGACCUCGCGCGUUUGGAGCGGCCGAUGGCAGAUUAGGUAGUUGGUGAGGUAAAGGCUUACCAAGCCUGCGAUCUGUAGCUGGUCUGAGAGGAUGAUCAGCCACACUGGGACUGAGACACGGCCCAGACUCCUACGGGAGGCAGCAGUGGGGAAUUUUGGACAAUGGGCGAAAGCCUGAUCCAGCCAUUCCGCGUGCAGGAUGAAGGCCCUCGGGUUGUAAACUGCUUUGUACGGAACGAAAAGGCUCUUGCUAAUACCAGGAGUCCAUGACGGUACCGUAAGAAUAAGCACCGGCUAACUACGUG